GUGCUUACUUAAGAAGUAGCACAUACACUAAAAUUGGAACAAUACAGGGAAGAUUUGCAUGGCCCCUAUACAAAGAUGAAAUAUAAAAUCACAAAAAAUUCCAUAAGAAA
ensembl:snRNA U6 U6 spliceosomal RNA